UACGAAGGGGGCGAGCGUUGUUCGGAUUUACUGGGCGUAAAGGGCGCGCAGGCGGCCGGCCAAGUCAGGCGUGAAAGCCCCGGGCUUAACCUGGGAAUUGCGUCUGGGACUGGUUGGCUAGAGAUCGGGAGAGGAGAGUGGAAUUCCCAGUGUAGAGGUGAAAUUCGUAGAUAUUCGCAAGAACACCAGUGGCGAAGGCGGCUUACUGGUCCGGAACUGACGCUGAGGUGCGAAAGCGUGGGGAGCAAACAGG
rnacentral:rRNA from 1 species